rnacentral:rRNA from 1 species
GACGAACGCUGGCGGCGUGCUUAACACAUGCAAGUCGAACGGAAAGGCCCUGCUUUUGUGGGGUGCUCGAGUGGCGAACGGGUGAGUAACACGUGAGUAACCUGCCCUUGACUUUGGGAUAACUUCAGGAAACUGGGGCUAAUACCGGAUAGGAGCUCCUGCUGCAUGGUGGGGGUUGGAAAGUUUCGGCGGUUGGGUAUGGACUCGCGGCUUAUCAGCUUGUUGGUGGGGUAGUGGCUUACCAAGGCUUUGACGGGUAGCCGGCCUGAGAGGGUGACCGGCCACAUUGGGACUGAGAUACGGCCCAGACUCCUACGGGAGGCAGCAGUGGGGAAUAUUGCACAAUGGGCGGAGGCCUGAUGCAGCAACGCCGCGUGCGGGAUGACGGCCUUCGGGUUGUAAACCGCUUUCGCCUGUGACGAAGCGUGAGUGACGGUAAUGGGUAAAGAAGCACCGGCUAACUACGUG